GUUGUGAAUUAGAACAAACUGGGUCAGCAGAAAUUUGCCGGUCUCCCAGCAGAAGCAUCAGGAGAUGAUGUACAGGGAUUUAGCGACUUAUUAAUUGCUGUGUGCCACAGAAGACAACAGUUGUUCCUUGUCAAAUGAGCAGGAGGAAAAUUGUGCCCUCAGCAUUUGCAGUUCUGCUGUGCAGCCUCCGAGAGGAGAGAGGAUCUGCUGCCCUCCCAACAGCUUGGUGCUGGGCAGAGACAAGAGCCAGCCUUGCCACGGGGGACAAGGAGAAGAAGAAGGAGCAAUGGCUGUGGGGCAGGACUGAGCUGGCCUGGCCCCCACUGGUAUGUGGCAGGGAGCCUUAUUAAUUGUUUGGUGGUGCUGUGUUACAUGGCCCAUUUGCAGCUUUUUCUUGUCUGUUUUGAAACUGUGAAAUGAGGCGCAGUAAUCAAGGAGGGUUUUAAUAACCAUCCCAGCUCUGACAUUUAAAUUACAGAUGGCAUUUUCAAUUAAACAGGCACUCUCAGCAGGUUUAAUUUAGCUAUCAGUUCUGCUCUGUUCUUUAAGUGCAUUCUUAAAAACAGUGAUGAAUUUAAAACUUGCUCCAAAGGGAGAAGAAGCCGAGGAGGGAUUGGAGCUGGCUGGAGAGGGGAAGCCCUUCAGGGGGUGCUGAGCGUGCAGAGGGAAGCCGGAGAUUGAGGAGAUGAGACAUUCAACUCCCCCAGCAUAGGUUUGUGCACAGGAUGCCUGAUGUGCUGCUCUUCUCAAGUGUCAUUUUGUGUCCCUACACGUCUGCACACACAGUCACAACAGCAUGCUUCCAAAUGCAGUGAGAUCUGGACUUGAGCAC
rnacentral:lncRNA from 1 species